rnacentral:rRNA from 1 species
AGCAGCCGCGGUAAUUCCAGCUCCAAUAGCGUAUAUUAAAGUUGUUGCAGUUAAAAAGCUCGUAGUUGAAUUUCGGGGUCAGUAGGUCGGUCGUGCCACUGGUAUGAACUGGUUUUACUGAUUCCUCCCUCUUGAAGAACUGUAAUGCCAUUAAUUUGGUGUUGCAGGGAAUCAGGACUGUUACUUUGAAAAAUUAGAGUGUUUAAAGCAGGCUUUAGCUUGAAUACAUUAGCAUGGAAUAAUGAAAUAGGACGUUUGAUCCUAUUUUGUUGGUUUCUAGGAUUGACGUAAUGAUUAAUAGGGAUAGUUGGGGGCAUUAGUAUUCAAUUGUCAGAGGUGAAAUUCUUGGAUUUAUUGAAGACUAACUACUGCGAAAGCAUUUGCCAAGGAUGUUUUCAUUAAUCAAGAACGAAAGUUAGGGGAUCGAAGACGAUCAGAUACCGUCGUAGUCUUAACCAUAAACUAUGCCGACUA